GACGAACGCUGGCGGCGUGCUUAACACAUGCAAGUCGAACGGACCUUCGGGUUAGUGGCGAACGGGUGAGUAACACGUGGGUGAUCUGCCCUGCACUUUGGGAUAAGCCUGGGAAACUGGGUCUAAUACCGAAUAUGAUCGCUGGCUUCAUGGCUGGUGGUGGAAAGCUUUUGCGGUGUGGGAUGGGCCCGCGGCCUAUCAGCUUGUUGGUGGGGUAAUGGCCUACCAAGGCGACGACGGGUAGCCGGCCGGAGAGGGUGACCGGCCACACGGGGACUGGGAUCCGGCCCAGACGCAUACGGGAGGGAGCAGUGGGGAAUAUUGCAAAAUGGGCGAAAGCCUGAUGCAGGGGCGCCGCGGGGGGGAGGACGGCAUUGGGGUUUUAAACCUCUUUGGCCAGGGACGAAGCGAAAGGGACGGUACCUGGAGAAGAAGGACCGGCCAACUACGUGCAACCCGCCGCGGUAA
rnacentral:rRNA from 1 species